rnacentral:lncRNA from 1 species
UUCCUUUUGAUUAUAAGUCUAUUUUUCUAUCAGUCGACGGUGUUUUCUCUCAUAAUAAAUUAAAAAAAGUUUACAUAACCCCUCCAAAUCAUAUAGGGUGGACUAUUUACCCUCCUAACUAUAAACCGGAUAUUCUUCCUCCUAAGCUUUUCAAAACCGGUUAAAUAACCCCAUCGAGUGACUUUGGAGGGUGGUUUUGUCUUUUGUCUUUUUUUUUAUUUAUUUUUGUUGAAUCGUUAAAAAAUAUAAUAAAUCAUAGAAAAAUAAUUAAAUAGAAAAUCUAAUCUUUUUGGACUCCAUAUAAGUAGAUCUACCAGUAAAUAUAUAAUAUGGUAUGCUUUAGUACAAAGUUUUUGCUCUAACUUUAGAUCUAUAUUUUUUUAAUUAAUUAGAAUAAUUCAUAUAUAUAGUUUCUAUAGUCCAAUUAUAGUGAAAUUUUUUUGAUGAGCUAAUUAUUGUCUGGUUGAAGUAUAGUCCAAAUUUCAUAUCCAUUGGAAUACGUAUAACUUAGUUAUAAAUUUUUUUUAGCUUUAUUCUUGUUAAAUCAAUGUUUUAUCUACAACUAAGAUACACGUGAUCC